UACGGAGGGAGCUAGCGUUAUUCGGAAUUACUGGGCGUAAAGCGCACGUAGGCGGCUUUGUAAGUAAGAGGUGAAAGCCCAGAGCUCAACUCUGGAAUUGCCUUUUAGACUGCAUCGCUUGAAUCAUGGAGAGGUCAGUGGAAUUCCGAGUGUAGAGGUGAAAUUCGUAGAUAUUCGGAAGAACACCAGUGGCGAAGGCGGCUUACUGGUCCGGUUCUGACGCUGAGGCGCGAAAGCGUGGGGAGCAAACAGG
rnacentral:rRNA from 1 species